AGAGGGUGCAAGCGUUAAUCGGAUUUACUGGGCGUAAAGCGUGUGUAGGUGGUCAGCUAAGUCGGUUGUGAAAUCCCUGGGCUCAACCCGGGAAUUGCAGUCGAUACUGGCAGACUCGAGUUCGGUAGAGGGSGACGGAAUUCCCGGUGUAGCGGUGAAAUGCGUAGAUAUCGGGAGGAACAUCGAUGGSGAAGGCAAUCGCCUGGGCCUGAACUGACACUGAGACACGAAAGCGUGGGUAGCAAACAGGAUUAGAUACCCUGGUAGUCCACGCCGUAAACGAUGGGAACCUGACGUCGGUUUGCUCUGCGAAUCGGUGUCGUAGCUAACGCGCUAAGUUCCCCGCCUGGGGAGUACGGCCGCAAGG
rnacentral:rRNA from 1 species